CCAUGCUGGCAUAUGUUGGAUGAUUUGACAGGAUCCAAUAGGUCCAAGGAUUGCAUUGUGUUCCAAUGUCUGAUUUGGCAUGGUUUCUACAGCUGGAUGUCCUUCCUAAUGCCAAC